rnacentral:rRNA from 1 species
AACGUAGGUGGCGAGCGUUAUCCGGAUUUACUGGGCGUAAAGGGUGUGCAGGCGGGCUGUUAAGUGGUGUAUGAAAUCGCCGGGCUCAACCGGGCGAGGUUAUGCCAGACUGGCAGUCUAGAGAGCGAGAGAGGGACGUGGAAUUCCGGGUGUAGUGGUGAAAUGCGUAGAGAUCCGGAGGAACCCCAGAGGCGAAGGCGGGUCUCUGGGCCGUAACUGACGCUGAGGAGCGAAAGCGUGGGGAGCGAACAGG